rnacentral:rRNA from 1 species
UACGAAGGGUGCAAGCGUUACUCGGAAUUACUGGGCGUAAAGCGUGCGUAGGUGGUUUGUUAAGUCUGUUGUGAAAGCCCCGGGCUCAACCUGGGAAUGGCAAUGGAUACUGGCAGGCUAGAGUGCGGUAGAGGGUAGUGGAAUUCCCGGUGUAGCGGUGAAAUGCGUAGAGAUCGGGGAGGAACACCAGUGGCGAAGGCGGCUACCUGGACCAGCACUGACACUGAGGCACGAAAGCGUGGGGGAGCAAACAGG